rnacentral:rRNA from 1 species
UACAGAGGUGGCAAGCGUUGUUCGGAAUUAUUGGGCGUAAAGAGCACGUAGGCGGUUCUGCAAGUCGGCUGUGAAAGCCUUCCGCUCAACGGAAGAACAGCAUCUGAUACUGCAAGGCUAGAGUGCGGAAGGGGAGAGUGGAACUUCUGGUGGAGCGGUGAAAUGCGUAGAUAUCAGAAGGAACACCGGCGGCGAAGGCGACUCUCUGGUCCGUAACUGACGCUGAGUGUGCGAAAGCUAGGGGAGCAAACGGG